UACAAUGUUUACAGAUGGGUGACGUUUGCA
rnacentral:piRNA from 1 species